CGGGUUCUGCUCUUCUCGUCACUCGGCGAAAUUCCGGUGGCCUUAAGCAAUUCCGAGGGAGUUGGCUCUGAUGCGGUCCUGGCCGUGUUACCCGGCGCCCACCUGUACAUACAGGUCCUCGGGAAUGAUCGCUCGACGGUCGCUGCGGAUCCCGC
rnacentral:other from 1 species